GACGGGGGGGGGCACGUGUUCUUCGGAAUGACUGGGCGUAAAGGGCACGUAGGCGGUGAAUCGGGUUGAAAGUGAAAGUCGCCAAAAAACUGGCGGAAUGCUCUCGAAACCAAUUCACUUGGGUGAGACAGAGGAGAGUGGAAUUUCGUGUGUAGGGGUGAAAUCCGCAAAUCUACGAAGGAAGGCCAAAAGCGAAGGCAGCUCUCUGGGUCCCUACCGACGCUGGGGUGCGAAAGCAUAGGGAGCGAACAGG
rnacentral:rRNA from 1 species